GAUGAACGCUGGCGGCGUGCCUAAUACAUGCAAGUCGAGCGAACGGACGAGAAGCUUGCUUCUCUGAUGUUAGCGGCGGACGGGUGAGUAACACGUGGAUAACCUACCUAUAAGACUGGGAUAACUUCGGGAAACCGGAGCUAAUACCGGAUGAUAUUUUGAACCGCAUGGUUCAAAAGUGAAAGACGGUCUUGCUGUCACUUAUAGAUGGAUCCGCGCUGCAUUAGCUAGUUGGUAAGGUAACGGCUUACCAAGGCAACGAUGCAUAGCCGACCUGAGAGGGUGAUCGGGCACACUGGAAACUAGACCCGGUCCAGACUCCUAAGGGAGGCCGCAGUAGGGAAUCUUCCGCAAUGGGCGAAAGCCUGACGGAGCAACGCCGCGUGAGUGAUGAAGGUCUUCGGAUCGUAAAACUCUGUUAUUAGGGAAGAACAUAUGUGUAAGUAACUGUGCACAUCUUGACGGUACCUAAUCAGAAAGCCACGGCUAACUACGUG
rnacentral:rRNA from 1 species